rnacentral:rRNA from 1 species
AUUGAACGCUGGCGGCAUGCUUUACACAUGCAAGUCGAACGGCAGCGCGGGCUUCGGCCUGGCGGCGAGUGGCGAACGGGUGAGUAAUACAUCGGAACGUGCCCAGUAGUGGGGGAUAGCUCGGCGAAAGCCGGAUUAAUACCGCAUACGACCUGAGGGUGAAAGCGGGGGAUCUUCGGACCUCGCGCUAUUGGAGCGGCCGAUGGCAGAUUAGCUACUUGGUGGGGUAAAGGCCUACCAAGGCGACGAUCUGUAGCUGGUCUGAGAGGACGACCAGCCACACUGGGACUGAGACACGGCCCAGACUCCUACGGGAGGCAGCAGUGGGGAAUUUUGGACAAUGGGCGAAAGCCUGAUCCAGCAAUGCCGCGUGUGUGAUGAAGGCCUUCGGGUUGUAAAGCACUUUUGGCGGGAACGAAAAGGACUGUGCCAAUACCACGGUUCGAUGGCGGUACCCGCAGAAUAAGCACCGGCUAACUACGUG